CUUGGAAUGGAAGUGUACUGCCUGUGAACGCACCAUUUGAUUGUUGAUCAGCUGCACCUGAGAGGUUCCGCUUGGUCCCCUAUCUUAGAGCCACCAACGCACUGGACAGGCAUAGACAGAGAGACACAGAAAAAGAAACAAGAGAGACACCAGAGAACACAGGGUGGCAUGAGGAGACCAGGCCUUCUUGGCAGGUCUGGUUGGUGGAAAUAAGAGGCCUGGUUGAUGGAAGAAGCCAAUGGACUAGAGAGAGGCACUGAUGGCAAGGAGCGAGUGAGCACACCAGCGAGGCGCCAGGUCUCCAUGAGGGGACCAGACCUGGUCUGAGGGCUCCGAGAGGCUGGAGACGGCAAGACAGAGUGAGCACUGGCCGCACACAAGAGAAACCCAGAGCAUUACUGCUCGACGUACUCACAGUGGCAGAGCAUAGCACUCUUCCUGGCGCGUGACCUCCGGGAUGCUGACUGGGAGGAGCAGCUGAGGUACCUGUAGCCCCUGAGGAGAGAUGGCAGAGCUCCACCACCACCUCGGAGCCGCCCCUGUAUCCGGUCUGACUGACACAGACUCGCUUAAUUAUGAAUGGACUAUUUUAACACAUACAGCUUCCAUUUAAGGACUUGGUUUUAAAACCUUUUAAGGUUUCAAUGUUCUGUGGUCUUUGUCCUCUCCUUCACCUGGUUACUGUCAGUGUGCUCUCCACCAAUAAAAUUCACCAGAACCUGUGUCCUCGUUUUUAAAAAUAA